UCCUAGCAGUAAACGUUGCAAGUUAGGUGUUGCAUAACUUUCGAGGUUGUGCAGUAUCGUAGCGAAGGCGUUAAACUUGCCGCCUGGGGAGUACGGUCGCAAGGUUGAAACUUAAAGGAAUUGGCGGGGGAGCACUACAAGGAGUGCGGCGUGCGGUUUAAUCUAAUUCAACACAGAAAAUCCCACCAAGAGCGACAGCAGAAUGAAGGUCAGAUUAAAGGUUUUACC
rnacentral:rRNA from 1 species